UAAUUCAGUCCGAAAGAACGAGAAAAUAAAUACUAUCAAUAAAGAAAAAGAAAAAUGUAUACUUCUUUCCCGCCAUUCAUCUGCUUCUUCUGCAACCCCCAAAUUCUCAGCCAAUUACACUCCCAGAUAACUUCCGCAGCUAUCUACACCUAUGAACAUGGUUCAGGCUUCAGCUGUUCCACAUUCAGUGAUCAGUUGUUUGGUCAUCAAUGUUAUGUGCUUACGUAGAGUCGUAGACAAUGAGUGGCCUUCAAGUAUUCAAUUUCAGGAAAGUUCUUCUCAACGGUAAACCUUGUCGAUCUCUAUGAAACAAACCAUCAGCCGGAGAAGAUCAAGACGUACUGCAAGGAGAUUUCUUUGUUUGAUCCAAGUUUUUGGAUCUCAGAUACUUCGUCACCGAUUCCUCCUAUACCACUCAUGAGAUCGUUCCCUUAAGGUUGAUGAUAUAUCAAAUAUUAAAAGAAGUGGGAUAAAGCUGAACGUGAAACAAGAGAUUUUAAGUCGUUACUUACACUGCAAAAGUGGUGAAAAACAGAGUAUAUAGCAUGACCUACCUCCAUUAUUGAUAUCGCAAAUUUAUUAGUGAACUAUACUACAUUUUGUAAUUUAGUGUACUCCAUAAUUGUAACUUAUCAUUAUAAAGAGUCCACCAAAGCACACUAUAUUUUAAGUUUAUUCCACGGUUGUGAUUGGAUAUUACCUUAGCUUGGCCCAAUAUUGGCUUUUUUGGGGGGCCUUGCAUUGAAAUCAGGGAU